GAUGAACGCUGACAGAAUGCUUAACACAUGCAAGUCAACUUGAACUUCGGUUUGGGUGGCGGACGGGUGAGUAACGCGUAAAGAACUUGCCUCACAGCUAGGGACAACAUUUGGAAACGAAUGCUAAUACCUGAUAUUAUGAUUAUAUGGCAUCGUAUAAUUAUGAAAGCUAUAUGCGCUGUGAGAGAGCUUUGCGUCCCAUUAGCUAGUUGGAGAGGUAACAGCUCACCAAGGCGAUGAUGGGUAGCCGGCCUGAGAGGGUGAUCGGCCACAAGGGGACUGAGGCACGGCCCUUACUCCUACGGGAGGCAGCAGUGGGGAAUAUUGGACAAUGGACCGAGAGUCUGAUCCAGCAAUUCUGUGUGCACGAUGAAGUUUUUCGGAAUGUAAAGUGCUUUCAGUUGGGAAGAAAAAAAUGACGGUACCAACAGAAGAAGUGACGGCUAAAUACGUG
rnacentral:rRNA from 1 species